AGAGUUUGAUCCUGGCUCAGGACGAACGCUGGCGGCGUGCUUAACACAUGCAAGUCGAACGGAAAGGCCCCCACUUUUUUGGUGGGGGUGCUCGAGUGGCGAACGGGUGAGUAACACGUGGGUGAUCUGCCCUGUACUUCGGGAUAAGCUUGGGAAACUGGGUCUAAUACCGGAUAGGACCAUGGUUUAGUGUCUCAUGGUGGAAAGAUUAUUGUUUUGGUGCAGGAUGAGCUCGCGGCCUAUCAGCUUGUUGGUGGGGUAAUGGCCUACCAAGGCGUCGACGGGUAGCCGGCCUGAGAGGGUGGACGGCCACAUUGGGACUGAGAUACGGCCCAGACUCCUACGGGAGGCAGCAGUGGGGAAUAUUGCACAAUGGGCGCAAGCCUGAUGCAGCGACGCCGCGUGGGGGAUGACGGCCUUCGGGUUGUAAACUCCUUUCGUUAGGGACGAAGCCACACCUUUUUUUGGGUGUGGUGACGGUACCUUUGUUAAGAAGCACCGGCUAACUACGUGCCAGCAGCCGCGGUAAUACGUAGGGUGCGAGCGUUGUCCGGAAUUACUGGGCGUAAAGAGCUCGUAGGUGGUUUGUUGCGUCGUCUGUGAAAUUCCGGGGCUUAACUUCGGGGUGGCAGGCGAUACGGGCAUAACUAGAGUGCUGUAGGGGAGACUGGAAUUCCUGGUGUAGCGGUGGAAUGCGCAGAUAUCAGGAGGAACACCGAUGGCGAAGGCAGGUCUCUGGGCAGUAACUGACGCUGAGGAGCGAAAGCAUGGGGAGCGAACAGGAUUAGAUACCCUGGUAGUCCAUGCUGUAAACGGUGGGCGUUAGGUGUGGGGACCGGUUUGGUUUCUGUGCCGUAGCUAACGCAUUAAGCGCCCCGCCUGGGGAGUACGGCCGCAAGGCUAAAACUCAAAGGAAUUGACGGGGGC
rnacentral:rRNA from 1 species